rnacentral:rRNA from 1 species
GAGUGAAAUAGAACCUGAAACCGUGUGCUUACAAGUAGUCAGAGCCCGUUAAUGGGUGAUGGCGUGCCUUUUGUAGAAUGAACCGGCGAGUUACGAUUUGAUGCAAGGUUAAGCAGUAAAUGUGGAGCCGUAGCGAAAGCGAGUCUGAAUAGGGCGUUUAGUAUUUGGUCGUAGACCCGAAACCAGGUGAUCUACCCUUGGUCAGGUUGAAGUUCAGGUAACACUGAAUGGAGGACCGAACCGACUUACGUUGAAAAGUGAGCGGAUGAACUGAGGGUAGCGGAGAAAUUCCAAUCGAACCUGGAGAUAGCUGGUUCUCUCCGAAAUAGCUUUAGGGCUAGCCUCAAGUGAUGAUUAUUGGAGGUAGAGCACUGUUUGGACGAGGGGCCCCUCUCGGGUUACCGAAUUCAGACAAACUCCGAAUGCCAAUUAAUUUAACUUGGGAGUCAGAACAUGGGUGAUAAGGUCCGUGUUCGAAAGGGAAACAGCCCAGACCACCAGCUAAGGUCCCAAAAUAUAUGUUAAGUGGAAAAGGAUGUGGCGUUGCCCAGACAACUAGGAUGUUGGCUUAGAAGCAGCCAUCAUUUAAAGAGUGCGUAAUAGCUCACUAGUCGAGUGACACUGCGCCGAAAAUGUACCGGGGCUAAACAUAUUACCGAAGCUGUGGAUUGUCCUUUGGACAAUGGUAGGAGAGCGUUCUAAGGGCGUUGAAGCAUGAUCGUAAGGACAUGUGGAGCGCUUAGAAGUGAGAAUGCCGGUGUGAGUAGCGAAAGACGGGUGAGAAUCCCGUCCACCGAUUGACUAAGGUUUCCAGAGGAAGGCUCGUCCGCUCUGGGUUAGUCGGGUCCUAAGCUGAGGCCGACAGGCGUAGGCGAUGGAUAACAGGUUGAUAUUCCUGUACCACCUAUAAUCGUUUUAAUCGAUGGGGGGACGCAGUAGGAUAGGCGAAGCGUGCGAUUGGAUUGCACGUCUAAGCAGUAAGGCUGAGUAUUAGGCAAAUCCGGUACUCGUUAAGGCUGAGCUGUGAUGGGGAGAAGACAUUGAGUCUUCGAGUCGUUGAUUUCACACUGCCGAGAAAAGCCUCUAGAUAGAAAAUAGGUGCCCGUACCGCAAACCGACACAGGUAGUCAAGAUGAGAAUUCUAAGGUGAGCGAGCGAACUCUCGUUAAGGAACUCGGCAAAAUGACCCCGUAACUUCGGGAGAAGGGGUGCUCUUUAGGGUUAACGCCCAGAAGAGCCGCAGUGAAUAGGCCCAAGCGACUGUUUAUCAAAAACACAGGUCUCUGCUAAACCGUAAGGUGAUGUAUAGGGGCUGACGCCUGCCCGGUGCUGGAAGGUUAAGAGGAGUGGUUAGCUUCUGCGAAGCUACGAAUCGAAGCCCCAGUAAACGGCGGCCGUAACUAUAACGGUCCUAAGGUAGCGAAAUUCCUUGUCGGGUAAGUUCCGACCCGCACGAAAGGCGUAACGAUUUGGGCACUGUCUCAACGAGAGACUCGGUGAAAUCAUAGUACCUGUGAAGAUGCAGGUUACCCGCGACAGGACGGAAAGACCCCGUGGAGCUUUACUGUAGCCUGAUAUUGAAAUUCGGCACAGCUUGUACAGGAUAGGUAGG